rnacentral:lncRNA from 1 species
CAGUAAUCUCAGGAGAAAUGCCAGUACCACCAUUUGACCAUGAUUUGAAAGGUUAACUUUUUUCUCCAGAAGCAGAGCAACUUUCAUGAGAGACAUUUUUAUCACUUUGUCAUAUUCACUCUCUGCACUUGCCAAAUAAUUUUGCUUUGUAAACUGAAGGAAAACUAAAUCCUGUAGCACUUAAGAUUUGGUGAAUUUCCAGGAAAUGAAAAAGCCCAGUCGGGACUGCAUCUUCCCCUCGACUUCAGCGUGCGCUGGCUGACGGGAAAGCACGAGGAGCCUUCUCCCGUUUCCAGCAGGCGAAGAGACUUGGUGCUUUGUAUCAAACAGGGAUGGAGCUCAGAUCCUCCACUCCGAAAGUCCUGGCAAUCCCCUGACCGAGCUGAGGAGGCGUCCUGCUACACACGGAGCAGAUCAGGGAGGAUCCAUAAG